rnacentral:tRNA from 1 species
GCCUGGGUGGCUCAGUCGGUUGAGUGUCCGACUUCGGCUCCGGUCAUGAUCUCACGGUCUGUGGGGGUCUGUGGGUUCGAGCCCCACAUAGGGCU